rnacentral:lncRNA from 10 species
AUUUAUUCACAGCUAACUGUGAUGGCUCAAGGAGGAGGCAGGAUUAUCUGUGCUAUUCCUGGCAGGGCACAGCAAGUUCUAAGCCACCAUGACAUCCUCAGGUACUUGCCUCCUGUCCUGUUGGACUUGAUACUGGGAAGGUCAUGUGACCCUGACUUACCAAAGAUCUGAGAGAUGUCUAGCAUGGGGAUUCUUAACCUAGGCGGGAUGUCUGUGAACUCCCUCAAAUUUUAUGCAGCAUGCUUUGCUUAUACUCGUACAUUUUUCUGUGGAGAGAAUCCAUAAAUUAGACUCAAUUCGAGGAUACUGGGUACAGCUAGUAAUUCCUUCAUCUCCCAGGAUAACUGUCUAAAAUUGGGCCAUUCAUACUUGAAAACCAGGACAUAACUCUCACACAUUCACACACACACAGUACCAAAUAAAACCAACCCAACUAAAACCUUUCAUACACUGUCUACCAUUUAAUCUUAGGCAAUCAGUCAUAUUGCUUUGUAGUCAGACCUUAGUAUUUAUUCUUUGAAAGAUUAUGGCUUUCUGUCCCAUUAAAAAAACAAGAGGUCAGCUUCACAGCCAUAUGAAGGCAGAAAAAAAAGUGUGAGCAUUUUUCUUAAUGUGAUCUAAGAACAAAUAUGAGACUUGAGCCAACUUGAGACAAGCUUUAAAGAAUCAACAUGACUAUCUCAGGCAUGAGAUAGUGUUUAAUAAUCAGUGAGUCAGAUGGGGCAGGAGAAAGGCAAGGUGUACAGGUACACAAACAGCCUGGGUCAGUAGCCCCCCAGAGGUGAUAUGCCUCAUUCAUUUGUGAGACUUAUUGUGAAGAGAUCAAGAAGUUGGAGAGGGUUGUUUACAGACACAUUUUGAAAACCAUCUUUCUGGAAUAAGGCACAUGUAACUUUAAUUUUUGAUUAAUACCCUCACCAAAGAAGAGAGAGGAGGACCAGGCCAUGGGAGAAGUGCCUGAAGACAGGAGAUCUUUGUGUGUGGGG